AUGGCUGGGAUUUGGCUUUCAAACAAAUUUUUGUUUACAAUAAUAAAGAACUGUACUUUAUGAAUGAGAUUGUCAACAAUUCUUUUUUUAUCAUGUUUACCGCGUAUCCAUUAGGUUUAGUCCAAAGUUACCUACUGAAAAAGGGGGUAUCCUCAUCGACUGUUUUGGAUUCAACACAGAAUAAUCGGUGCGACAAGUAUGGAGUAUGUGGAGCUAAUAGCAUUUGUAGAAUCAAGACUAGUCCAAUUUGUGAGUGCUUACACGGAUUUGUUUCUAAAUCACAGAGUGAAUGGGAUGUACUUUACUGGUCCAGUGGAUGUGUGAGGAGGAUUCCAUUGAGUUGCCUGCAGGACUCCAUUAAAAUUUUAAAGCUGGGAGGCGUGCAAUUGCUAGAUCUUCUUAAGAAUUCACUAAAGAAAAGCAUGACUCUAAAAGAAUGUAGGGCAAAAUGCUUGAAGAAUUGCUCUUGCAUGGCUUAAGCAAAUUCAGAUAUUUGUGAAGGUGGUAGUGGUUGUUUCAUGUGGUUCGUGGAUCUGAUAGAUAUUCAAGAUUUUUCUGAAAGAAAAACACAAUAUAUCUAUAUACGAAUAGCUACUUCCGAACUCAAUGAUAAUUAAAAGACAAGACUGGUGCUGAUCUUGGUCAUAUCUUUAGCUUGUGGAAUGCUUAUCCUUGGCUUCUUGAUCUUACGUCUCAUCAAGAAGAGAGAAUCGAAAAGAGAUAUAGAGCUGCCAAUGUUUGAUCUGAGUACAGUUACUAAUGCAACUGAGAACUUCUCAUUAAAAAAUAUGUUUGGAGAAGGCGGAUUUG